rnacentral:lncRNA from 1 species
GAUGUCGUGGUGGCCUAGUGGGCAAAGAACCAACCUCUCGAGUAUGAGGGCGCGGGUUCGAUUCCAGGUCAGGCAAGUACCAAUGCAACUUUUCUAAGUUUGUGUGUACUUUCUAAGUAUAUCUUAGACACCAAUGACUGUGUUUCGGAUGGCACGUUAAACUGUAGGUCCCGGCUGUCAUUUAACAUCCUUGGCAGUCGUUACGGGUAGUCAGAAGCCAGUAAGUCUGACACCAGUCUAACCAAGGGGUAUCGGGUUGCCCGGGUAACUGGGUUGAGGAGGUCAGAUAGGCAGUCGCUUCUUGUAAAGCACUGGUACUCAGCUGAAUCCGGUUAGACUGGAAGCCGACCCCAACAUGAUUGGGAAAAAGGCUCGGAGGAUGAUGUAAGAGCAUACUGCACACUUUUAGUCGGCCAAUAGUUUGUUUGGGCUCAUAAAUCAGUAUGAAGAUGAAUGGUAGUACGCACAUAACAGAUGUUACUGUUACUGUUACAGCCUUUUUAUCGUCCCACUGCCGGGCUGCGGCCUCCUCUCACACGGAGAAGGAUUGAGCAUUAAUCACCACGCUUGCUCAAUGCGGGUUGG